rnacentral:lncRNA from 1 species
CACGGAAAUAAUCAGAAAGAUACAAAACAGGUAAGUGCAUGCUUUAACUUUUACGUUGCAUUUGACGUCCAGAAUUAUUUGAAGGUUAUUUGUUUUAAACAGUUUUUAUGCAUGUGAUUAUAUAUAUAUGAAUAUUAUUAAAAAGAAAACUUGGUGACUAAAACUGAACAUGACCUGUUAAAGAACGGUAGAGUUAAGAAAAGGGGGGAACAGCGCAAACGCUAAAACG